rnacentral:pre_miRNA from 1 species
AAUAAGAUUAUUUUCCGUUUUUCCGUGUUCAAUGUUUGAACAUUGGUCUUAUUUAAAAAAAUUUUAUAAUUAAUAUUUUUAUUCUGAUAAAACAUGAAUAGUACUUUAUACCUAACUAAUUUUUUAAAGUUUUUAUAUAAAUUUUUUAAAUAAGACGAAUGAUUAAACAUUGAACACGGAAAAACA